GAUGAACGCUGGCGGCGUGCCUAACACAUGCAAGUCGAGCGAUUCUCUUCGGAGAAGAGCGGCGGACGGGUGAGUAACGCGUGGGUAACCUGCCCUGUACACACGGAUAACAUACCGAAAGGUAUGCUAAUACGGGAUAACAUAAGAAAUUCGCAUGUUUUUCUUAUCAAAGCUCCGGCGGUACAGGAUGGACCCGCGUCUGAUUAGCUAGUUGGUGAGGUAACGGCUCACCAAGGCGACGAUCAGUAGCCGACCUGAGAGGGUGAUCGGCCACAUUGGAACUGAGACACGGUCCAAACUCCUACGGGAGGCAGCAGUGGGGAAUAUUGCACAAUGGGCGAAAGCCUGAUGCAGCAACGCCGCGUGAGCGAUGAAGG
rnacentral:rRNA from 1 species